rnacentral:rRNA from 1 species
GGAUGGACGCACCGCUGGUGUACCAGUUGUCUUGCCAAAGGCAUAGCUGGGUAGCUACGUGCGGACGGGAUAAGUGCUGAAAGCAUCUAAGCAUGAAGCCCCCCUCAAGAUGAGAUUUCCCAUGGCGCAAGCUAGUAAGAUCCCUGAAAGAUGAUCAGGUUGAUAGGUCAGAGGUGGAAGCAUGGUGACAUGUGGAGCUGACUGAUACUAAUAGAUCGAGGACUUAACCAA